CGUUCGGUUCCAAAAUGUACUUGAUGGCUCCGCCACAAUUCUUAUUUUCCCAAAUUUUCCCCUUAAUUAGACCCUGUAAUAAAGGAACGCACACACUCCCUGUAAACAGGUAACGAGUGAGUGCUUGUUCCACUUUCACGUCAUACCGUGUCCAUGAAAUGCGUCCCAACUCGAGCAGUUUGAGCUCGGGCAAAACAAAACACAGCCCUGAAAGUACUCACCUCGUCCCAUAGAUGGUGUUAGCUACAACAGGAUGGGCAAACAGAAAAUCAUGAGCAUAAAUGCAUAUGCAGAAUUCUAUGCAAGCUGGCGGGUCUUAUAAAAGCCUGACUGAAACUGGGGGAUUUCUCUUUAUUGCAAGUGAUCCUCGAACAGAGUAGUAGUAGCGCGCGUGUGUAAAUAGUAGUUUGAGGAUCAGUUAAAUCGUUCGUUUGUUAAAAGUUAAAAAUGUUUGUUAGUUUGUUAGUAUGUAAAAAUGUUUGUUAGUACGUUAAAAAUGUAAUAGUACGGAACGUGUGAGUUAAAAUGUGUUAGUACGGUUAGUAUUGUGAACAGUAAGAUUAUAACUUGAAUAAUAAUUAACCGUUAAAAUUAUAGUUAAACCAAACAUACAAAGAACGAACAAUAGAACAAUGAACGAAAAACAACGUGUUAGCUAAAACAAAACAAGAAAAAGGUACGUAACAAAGGUGACUAGACAAUCAGUGAAGUUAGAGGUUAGGUACAGUGACGUCAUAGGGUACUAAUCCGUGAUGACCAGGUCCAUACUUGGGACCUUUUUCUUUUCUACUCUUUUUGCUGAGUUUCCGACAGUGCGAGAAGCCGUGAAUGUGUGUGGUGGAAGUGCGCGCAGUUUUCCUGUUCAGGACGCGACCCUGAACUCGGCCCAGCAUUCCGAGGAGUAGCUCCGUGCCGCCAUUGCUCUUGGCCGCGCGAUUAGGCACUUUCGACGCAGCCAGCCUUUCUGCAGCCGCCAUCUUCCCGCACCUGCACGAGCCGAUCAGCACCAACACCGACAAUAGCCCGGCCUUUCCGAAGUCGGCAGGCGUCCGUCGAACUCUCCUUCAACGUUCCCGACGCCUGCUUCCACGACCAGCAUCGAUCGGCGAUCCACGAUCGGCUCACUAGCCACCAGCUACACCACCAACAACGAUCCGGAACAUUGUGUUAAAAGCAUGCAAGUACCCAUUUUGUGACGUCACUCAAUAAAUAAUUGUAAAUAGAAA